CGCCUAAUACAUGCAAGUCGAACGCGAAAGUCCUUCGGGAUGAGUAAAGUGGCGCACGGGUGAGUAACGCGUAGGUGACCUAUCUUCUUAUGGGGGAUAACGGUAAGAAAUUACCGCUAAUACCGCAUACCUUAGUUUAAUUAAAAAAUUAUUAAGAAAGACGGCCUCUUUACAAUGCCGUUGUAAGAAGCAGGGCCUGCGUCCCAUUAGCUAGUUGGUGGGGUAAUAGCUUACCAAGGCAACGAUGGGUAACCGGUCUGAGAGGAUGAUCGGUCACACUGGAACUGAGACACGGUCCAGACUCCUACGGGAGGCAGCAGUAGGGAAUCUUGCGCAAUGGGAGAAAUCCUGACGCAGCGAUGCCGCGUGAGUGAGGAAGGCCUUCGGGUUGUAAAGCUC
rnacentral:rRNA from 1 species